AUUGAACGCUGGCGGCAGGCCUAACACAUGCAAGUCGAGCGGAUGAAGGGAGCUUGCUCCUGGAUUCAGCGGCGGACGGGUGAGUAAUGCCUAGGAAUCUGCCUGGUAGUGGGUUAUAACGUCCGGAAACGGGCGCUAAUACCGCAUACGUCCUGCGGGAGAAAGUGGGGGAUCUUCGGACCUCACGCUUUCUUAUGAGCCUAGGUCGGAUUAGCUAGUUGGUGGGGUAAAGGCCUACCAAGGCCACGAUCCGUAACUGGUCUGAGAGGAUGAUCAGUCACACUGGAACUGAGACACGGUCCAGACUCCUACGGGAGGCAGCAGUGGGGAAUAGUGGACAAUGGGAGAAAGCAUGAUACAGCCAGGCCGAGUGUGUGAAGAAGGUCUUCGGAUUGUAAAGCACUUUAAGUUGGGAGGAAGGGAAGUAAGUUAAUACCUUGCUGUUUUGACGUUACCAACAGAAUAAGCACCGGCUAACUUCGUG
rnacentral:rRNA from 1 species